UGUUGAGAGAGUAUAUGUUACCGUAGCUGAAAUGAAGAAGUUCGUGACAAUGUAGUUUUAGUAGUGUGCAUGAUACAGUGUAUUGAUAAAACAGGUGUUGUUGGGUUACAAGGUGUAAUUUGCUCCCAAUGAGAGUGCUUGCUGAACCAGAGAGAGCUCGAGACGUGUCUCACAUGUUUGGACAAUUGCGUGAUGUGUGAUGUGUUUUGUUUCAGUGCAAUGUUUAGUUAUAUGUCCGCGGGUCGCGAUGCUGGGACCUUGCUGGCAACGAGGGAACCGGCAAGUGUUUGAGUUAAGAGGCCACUAUGCGUUUUUUUUUUUGUUUAGUUGUUUAGUUGCUUUUUAUGUACUCGUGUUUUUCU
rnacentral:lncRNA from 1 species